AAACGCUUGAAGUCAGUCGCACCGUUCAGGAUUCAGCCUUGCUUCUGCUCGGUUUACUUCCUGUUGGGUGGGUCAACAUCAGUUUUGGUCGGAGGAGAAAGGCUUGGGGAAGGUGGCAGCAUUCGUGCUGUGUUAUAGCCCCUUGUUGUAUACUUCGACUGGGACUGAGGACCGCAGCACGCCUUUGGCCGGGGUUCGCCCACGUACGUGCUUAGGAUGUUGGCAUAAUGGCUUUAAGCGA
rnacentral:rRNA from 1 species